UUCCUGGUAGUCUCCAUACAAGCCAUCUGUGUUACUCCACCAACAGAUGUGUGGGAGUAUGGGAAUGGGAAGGUUUUAACAGACGCUGCGAACCCACUGCUGACACCAGGGCUCUCGUGUGGGACGAAUUUUUAAGAGGAUUGGCCAGGUGUGCCCUGUUGGGUACAGAACCUUCCGGAUGGCGAGCUAGAUGCAAGAGCCUGAACCCUGUAACACACCCUCUGCAAUCUGGUAGGGGGCCGUUUGCAAGCCAGCCCACUCCCAUCUUUAUUUCUUUUGCCCUGCUCACCGCUCACAUCCACACCAGUUGAAUAGCGCGUAUAUGGACAUUUAUUCAAUUUUCAUGGACUCGGUUUAUUAUUGGACAACUCCUACAUACUGCAUUGUGAAAGGUGAACAGAAUGAUUGUGACCUAACUUGGUGAAAUUGAUGG